rnacentral:rRNA from 1 species
AACGGCCGUAUCAUGCUGAAUAUACCGGUUCUCGUUAGAUCACCGAAGUCAAGCAUCAUUGGGCGCGAUGUACUUGGUUGGGUGACCACCUGGGAACACUGCGUGCCGUU